GGAGCUGACAAAUAAACCUCUUCUGAGUUGGCGCUCCUUCCCCUCCAGCCCCACCCGCUGCCUCUCUGCUUUUCCAGAUUCACAUGCACUCUGUACCUUUUACCACCUCAUUCUGUGCCCCGGGGCUGAGGCCUGUGAACCGUGUCCAUGGGCUCUGUGAUGGUGAAGUUUAUGCUCCAACUUGACUGGGUCAAGGGAUCCCCAGAUAGCCGGAAAUUGUCUGCUGGCCAUGAAACACUACCUGGCUCAUCCAAAUCCUACUCAUCCUUCAAGAUGGACCUCAAAAUCACUCCUCACCGGACCCCUCCCUGACCACUCCUGUGGGAAGAGACUUUGAUCCAUCCCUCCUCUCGAGUACUAUCUACUUACUGAUUAAUGUCAGUUAAGAAGACAAAAUGAAACAAAGCAAACAAAUCCUUGUUUGCACAUCUAUCUUGUUCCCUUGCUUGAUAUAAGAAUCUUGAAGUGUGGGGACCAUGCUCUGUGACUCUUCCUACAAUUCUUUUCACUGACACAGCAUCCUGUAGAUGCUCAAUAAAUACAUGUUUCUUGAUA